GACGAACGCUGGCGGCGUGCCUAAUACAUGCAAGUCGAACGCAGUGGGGACGGGUGAGUAACACGUGGGUAACCUCCCAUCAGAGGGGAUAACACUUGGAAACAGGUGCUAAACCGAUACUGAUGGAUGGACCCGCGGUGCAUUAGCUAGUUGGUGAGGUAACGGCUCACCAAGGCCACGAUGCCUAGCCGGCCUGAUAGGGUGAUCGGCCACCCGUGGACUGCGACACGGCCCAGAACCCUACGGUGGGCAGCCGUAGGGAAUCUUCGGCAAUGGACGAAAGUCUGACCGAGCAACGCCGCGUGAGUGAAGAUGGUUUUCGGAUCGUAAACCUCUGUUGUUAGAGAAGCGGUAUCUAACCAGAAAGCCACGGCUAACUACGUGCCAGCAGCCGCGGUAAUUC
rnacentral:rRNA from 1 species